rnacentral:rRNA from 1 species
GGGUUGUGAGGUUAAGCGACUAAGCGUACACGGUGGAUGCCCUGGCAGUCAGAGGCGAUGAAGGGCGUGCUAAUCUGCGAUAAGCGCCGGUAAGGUGAUAUGAACCGUUAUAACCGGCGAUACCCGAAUGGGGAAACCCAGUGUGAUUCGUCACACUAUCAUUAACUGAAUCCAUAGGUUAAUGAGGCGAACCGGGGGAACUGAAACAUCUAAGUACCCCGAGGAAAAGAAAUCAACCGAGAUUCCCCCAGUAGCGGCGAGCGAACGGGGAGGAGCCCAGAGCCUGAAUCAGCAUGUGUGUUAGUGGAAGCGUCUGGAAAGGCGCGCGAUACAGGGUGACAGCCCCGUACACAAAAGCGCAUGUGCUGUGAGCUCGAUGAGUAGGGCGGGACACGUGGUAUCCUGUCUGAAUAUGGGGGGACCAUCCUCCAAGGCUAAAUACUCCUGACUGACCGAUAGUGAACCAGUACCGUGAGGGAAAGGCGAAAAGAACCCCGGCGAGGGGAGUGAAAAAGAACCUGAAACCGUGUACGUACAAGCAGUGGGAGCCCCACCACUAAGCCAGUGGUGAACUCCACAUACGCAUCCUUUGCUGAGGAUACGGUUAACGGAGCGAAAGCGACGUUCAACCUCAAAAGAAGCAGAGGGGGCUUAGUGGUGGGGUGACUGCGUACCUUUUGUAUAAUGGGUCAGCGACUUAUAUUCUGUAGCAAGGUUAACCGUAUAGGGGAGCCGGAGGGAAACCGAGUCUUAAUUGGGCGUUAAGUU